UCGAUUUUUCCAAUUAGGCCCUCGGAGUGGAUGGGUUGUAGUUUUGUGUUCGGGGGUAUUUACGUCAAAGGGCACAAAUGAAUGCUGUUUGGAUCUGAACCGUAUAUUUUCUACUGUAGACCAGUCUGAGCCACGUGCCUCACAUCUUCAACAUCGGAACGAUCCAGGUUCUCUCUCUCUCUCUCUCUCUCUUUGUCGCUAUUCAUCUUCUGGAUUCUUCUGGACGAUGCUACGCCUAUGAACCCAGGCCUCUCGGCCGUGCAUCUGAUGCUGUGCGAGUGAUUGCAUACUCCAUCGCUUGGUUGACGACGCUUAGGGUUUGGAUUGCCUCAAAUCGUUCCUGUGCCUGUGACUGUGAUUCACGGUGAGUGCUAUUUGCGAAGCAAUUCCUACGAUUCAUGGUGUGCGCUUAGGGCUUGGUAUGUGUAUGCUUUACCCAUUUUUCCAGUUAAGUGCUAUCCGCGAUGCAAUUUCCUGCUGUAUUUUGCUUCUUUUCUGUGCAGCUCGAGUUUGUUUGAGUUGCUCGAUGAGUUUAGGGUACUGUUUUCUUAUGAAUGAUUCUGCCUUUGGGAGAUCCUUUGCAUGUUCUUUGGUGCUUUUGGUGUUUUCAUGGAUGUUUUGUUGAAUUUAUUUCUUCUACUGUUGUUGUGUUUGGUUGAUUUUGCUUUGGGAUCAGAUUUUUGUGUGGUUGGAUUGUGUAUUUUGUAAUUGGGUCUGGUUCUUAAAUGGCGGUUGUGUUAUAUUUUUUUUGUUUACAUAAAAAUUCAUAACUUUUCUUUUGUGUGAGAUUGUUGUUGGGCCGCUGAAGAGAAAUUCUGUUUCUUAGUUCACAGUUUUGUUUACCUCAAAUUAAUAAGUUUCGUAAGUUCAAAAGUCAGGGCUUUGAAUGGUCUUUGAGUUCUAGAACACAAGUUUAUAGUUUGUGAUAUCUCUUUUGUAUAAGAUUGUUGGGUCCUUGAUAACUUCCAAAGUCAUGGCUUUGUAUAGCUUUGGAUUUUUAGAACUGUGUUUAAUUUUAUCCUAUAUCUUAUAGUCUGAUUGAUCUAAUGCUAUGACUAUGUUACUAUAUUAAUAUUGCAGUGAAGUUGCAGUUGAUGAUGGUGCUAUGAAUUAUUUGACUCUCCUUUGGCAAUAAUUGAGAGCAUGCAAUAAGAGGGUGGUUGACAAGUAAAGCAGACAUGUACAACUUUGGCUUUCUCUCUAUGGAAAAAGUUACUUGGAGAUGCAACCCAAAUGCUCUAAUACCUAGCAAUAUCUUCUCGAGAGGGUAUGAAGUUUUUCCACAAACUUUGUUAAUCUUUUCGUACCAAAGUAGUAACUAUGUGUGUCGGUUAUCUGAUGAAUGACCUAAUUCCAUGGUGACCUAAAUUAGUAGAGCGAGACUUGGUGUAGUGGUGAUGGAAAAUCUGAACUAUGUAGGAAAAGUAAACAGCAACCUACUUUCCUCUUGUAUAUCAUGUUUUUAGCCAUGUUUCCCCCCUUUUGAUGAAUAUUUUUUAGGACAUAGACAAAACGAAAUUUAUUUAAUUUUUUAAUUUUCUGUGUAAAUGAUCAUGCCUCUUGUCCUGACAAUGGUCUCAUGAAAAAAAUAUAUGAUGGUGUAUCUUAUGCGUUGCUUACAAUUUGCUAUUUGGUUGUGUUCUUUGUUAGACUUAAAAACUGAAGAGUGUUUUCCAUUUAGGGUCAUCAAGUUUGGGAGAGAUCUUAUUAUUUGAAUAUGCAUGCUCAGAGUGUACGGUGACGUGAAUAAAAAAUGGACUUGGGAAUUCAAAUGCUAUGUAAAGUUUGCAACGGAGACACAAUUUAAGUUCAGCCUUAAUUUUUUAAAAAUUGAGUCAAUUGACAAUUUGGUUUCCCAUUACUUUUGCCCUCCAAUUAGUCCAAAUUAGUUAUUUCAUAUCAUGCCAAUUUAUGCAGGAAAAAAGAACUCACGGGCACGAAAUUUUCGUGCAAGCACGACGGCGAAAACCUAGUUC